rnacentral:rRNA from 1 species
UACGUAGGGUGCGAGCGUUGUCCGGAAUUAUUGGGCGUAAAGGGCUCGUAGGCGGUUUGUCGCGUCGGGAGUGAAAAUCCAGGGCUUAACUCUGGACUGGCUUCCGAUACGGGCAGACUAGAGGUAUGCAGGGGAGAAUGGAAUUCCUGGUGUAGCGGUGAAAUGCGCAGAUAUCAGGAGGAACACCGGUGGCGAAGACGGUUCUCUGGGCAUUACCUGACGCUGAGGAGCGAAAGUGUGGGGAGCGAACAGG